rnacentral:tRNA from 1 species
UGUUUUAUAGUGUAAAAUGCAUAUGAUAUUUUGAUUAUCAAGGUUUAAGUUUGAUUCUUUAAAAAACAA